rnacentral:rRNA from 1 species
GACGAACGCUGGCGGCGUGCUUAACACAUGCAAGUCGAACGGAAAGGCGCUGCUUUUGUGGGGUGCUCGAGUGGCGAACGGGGGAGUAACACGUGAGUAACCUGCCCUUGACUGUGGGAGAACUUCAGGAAACUGGGGCGAAUACCGGAGAGGAGCUCCUGCUGCAUGGUGGGGGUUGGAGAGAUACGGCGGUUGGGGAUGGACUCGCGGCUUAUCAGCUGGAUUGUGGGGUAGUGGCGUACCAAGGCUUUGACGGGUAGCCGGCCUGAGAGGGUGACCGGCCACAUUGGGACUGAGAUACGGCCCAGUCUCCUACGGGAGGCAGCAGUGGGGAAUCUUGCACAAUGGGCGGACGCCUGAUGCAGCAACGCCGCGUUCGGGAUGACGGCCUUCGGGUUGUAAACCGCUUUCGCCUGUGACGAAGCGUGCGUGACGGUAAUGGGUAAAGAAGCACCGGCUAACUACGUG